rnacentral:rRNA from 1 species
GAAAAGAACUUUGAAAAGAGAGUUAAACAGUACGUGAAAUUGUUGAAAGGGAAACGAUUAAAGUCAGUCGUACCAGCGGGAAAUCAACCUUUCGAGUGGUAUUUUGGAGUUUUGAAGAGUGUUAAAAACCUUUGAGAUUUCAAAAUUUUCGCUUUUUUGGUGUACUUUCUCGUAGGUAGGUUAACAUCGAUUUUUGAUCAUCAUAAAAGGACCGGAGGAAUGUAGCUUCGAUCUCGUAUUGAAGUGUUAUAGCCAGGAAUUAUGCGGGGGGCUGGACUGAGGACCGCAGUGCUUAUUUGGAUUGCUUGGUCUCUGGACGGUCUAGCAGGUGUUUCAGCACGCUGAACUAUUUGCUAGCUCGGUCACAGGCUGAGUUCAUCACACCAGCACUUAGGAUGUU